rnacentral:lncRNA from 1 species
UUGUGAAGAAACAAGCACUUGAUGACAUCCUCUGUCUUCCUGGAUUCCUUCAAGUUCUCAGAGGGACUUGGGCAGAGAUCUGCCGGGGAUAAGGAACAGAGGUCAUAGAGCGCACUCAGACUGGCCCAGAGGGGCUAACUCAGAUCAAACCAGUCCCCUGCCCCACCCCCACCCAGCAUCACUGGAUUUCUGGAUCCAACCAGCCAUUUUCUAGUGGCUAGGCCAGCUCUCACUUGGAGAAGGUCAGCAAAAGGAAUGGAAAAUAUCCUGACUUUUUAAUCGCUGGGAGGCCAUGUUUUCUUUAUUUGAUUGCCCUUCACUCUCCACUGCUGAGACCCUGCAGGCUGGCACAUGGUGGGAAUUCCGUA